rnacentral:misc_RNA from 1 species
GAUGAAGAACGUAGCGAAAUGCGAUACUUGGUGUGAAUUGCAGAAUCCCGUGAACCAUCGAGUCUUUGAACGCAAGUUGCGCCCUAAGCCUUUGGCCGAGGGCACGUCUGCCUGGGUGUCACAAAUCGUCGUCCCCCCCCCCAAUCCUUUUGGAUAAGGGACGGAAGUUGGUCUCCCGUGUGAUACCGCAUGCGGUUGGCCGAAAUCCGAGCUUAGGACGUCAGGAGCGUCUCGACAUGCGGUGGUGAAAAUCUCCCUCAUUAUGUCGGUCGGUCCUGUCCAUAAGCUCUCGAUGACCCAAAGUCCUCAACGCGACCCCAAGUCAGGCGGGAUCACCCGCUGAGUUUAAGCAUAUCAAUAAGCGGAGGA